rnacentral:rRNA from 1 species
AGUGACCACAAUUUAACGGCCGCGGUACCCUAACCGUGCGAAGGUAGCAUAAUCACUUGUUUCCUAAAUAGAGACUAGUAUCAACGGCAUCACGAAGACUACACUGUCUCCCCCCUAAAAUCAAUGAAACUAAUCUCCUCGUGAAGAAGCGAGGAUGAACAUAUAAGACGAGAAGACCCCAUGGAGCUUUAAACAAACUUCAAUUGCUUUCCCCCCCCCCCCACCAUAAAAAUUAA